GGGUUUGAUUAUGGCUCAGGAUGAACGCUGGCGGCGUGCUCAACACAUGCAAGUCGAACGAACCUUCGGGUUAGUGGCGGACGGGUGAGUAACGCGUGAGAAUCUGCCCUCAGGAGGGGGAUAACAGCUGGAAACGGCUGCUAAUACCCCAUAUGCCGCGAGGUGAAAUGAAUUUCGCCUGAGGAUGAGCUCGCGUCUGAUUAGCUAGUUGGUGUGGGUAAUGGCUCACCAAGGCAUCGAUCAGUAGCUGGUCUGAGAGGAUGAUCAGCCACACUGGGACUGAGACACGGCCCAGACUCCUACGGGAGGCAGCAGUGGGGAAUUUUCCGCAAUGAGCGAAAGCCUGACGGAGCAACGCCGCGUGAGGGAUGAAGGCCUCUGGGCUGUAAACCUCUUUUAUCAAGGAAGAAGAUCUGACGGUACUUGAUGAAUAAACCACGGCUAAUUCCGUGC
rnacentral:rRNA from 1 species